GUGUCCUACGGGAGGCAGCAGUGGGGAAUAUUGUACAAUGGGGGGAACCCUGAUGCAGCGACGCCGCGUGGGUGAAGGAGUACUUCGGUACGUAAAGCCCUAUCAGCAGGAAAGAAAAUGACGGUACCUGACUAAGAAGCCCCGGCUAACUACGUGCCAGCAGCCGCGGUAAUACGUAUGGUGCAAGCGUUAUCCGGAUUUACUGGGUGUAAAGGGAGCGCAGGCGGCACGGCAAGCCUGAUGUGAAAGCCCGCGGCCCAACCGCGGGACUGCAUUGGGAACUACCGGGCUGGAGUGCCGGAGAG
rnacentral:rRNA from 1 species